UAGGGAAUCUUCGGCAAUGGACGGAAGUCUGACCGAGCAACGCCGCGUGAGUGAAGAAGGUUUUCGGAUCGUAAAGCUCUGUUGUUAGAGAAGAACGUUGGUAGGAGUGGAAAAUCUACCAAGUGACGGUAACUAACCAGAAAGGGACGGCUAACUACGUGCCAGCAGCCGCGGUAAUACGUAGGUCCCGAGCGUUGUCCGGAUUUAUUGGGCGUAAAGCGAGCGCAGGCGGUUCUUUAAGUCUGAAGUUAAAGGCAGUGGCUUAACCAUUGUACGCUUUGGAAACUGGAGGACUUGAGUGCAGAAGGGGAGCGUGGAAUUCCAUGUGUAGCGGUGAAAUGCGUAGAUAUAUGGAGGAACACCGGUGGCGAAAGCGGCUCUCUGUUCUGUAACUGACGCUGAGGCUCGAAAGCGUGGGGAGCAAGCAGG
rnacentral:rRNA from 1 species